rnacentral:rRNA from 1 species
CAGUAGCCACGGGAAUACGUAGGUGGCAAGCGUUGUCCGGAAUUAUUGGGCGUAAAGCGCGCGCAGGUGGUUUAAUAAGUCUGAUGUGAAAGCCCACGGCUCAACCGUGGAGGGUCAUUGGAAACUGUUAAACUUGAGUGCAGGAGAGAAAAGUGGAAUUCCUAGUGUAGCGGUGAAAUGCGUAGAGAUUAGGAGGAACACCAGUGGCGAAGGCGGCUUUUUGGCCUGUAACUGACACUGAGGCGCGAAAGCGUGGGGAGCAAACAGGAUUAGAUACCCCCGUAGUCCCUGUCUCUUAUAC